GACGAACGCUGGCGGCGCGCCUAACACAUGCAAGUCGAACGAGCAAGAGAGAGCUUGCUUUCUCGAGCGAGUGGCGAACGGGUGAGUAACGCGUGAGGAACCUGCCUCAAAGAGGGGGACAACAGUUGGAAACGACUGCUAAUACCGCAUAAGCCCACGGGUCGGCAUCGACCAGAGGGAAAAGGAGCAAUCCGCUUUGAGAUGGCCUCGCGUCCGAUUAGCUAGUUGGUGAGGUAACGGCCCACCAAGGCGACGAUCGGUAGCCGGACUGAGAGGUUGAACGGCCACAUUGGGACUGAGACACGGCCCAGACUCCUACGGGAGGCAGCAGUGGGGAAUAUUGCACAAUGGGGGAAACCCUGAUGCAGCGACGCCGCGUGGAGGAAGAAGGUCUUCGGAUUGUAAACUCCUGUUGUUGGGGAAGAUAAUGACGGUACCCAACAAGGAAGUGACGGCUAACUACGUGCCAGCAGCCGCGGUAAAACGUAGGUCACAAGCGUUGUCCGGAAUUACUGGGCGUAAAGGGAGCGCAGGCGGGAAGACAAGUUGGAAGUGAAAUCUAUGGGCUCAACCCAUAAACUGCUUUCAAAACUGUUUUUCUUGAGUAGUGCAGAGGUAGGCGGAAUUCCCGGUGUAGCGGUGGAAUGCGUAGAUAUCGGGAGGAACACCAGUGGCGAAGGCGGCCUACUGGGCACCAACUGACGCUGAGGCUCGAAAGUGUGGGUAGCAAACAGGAUUAGAUACCCUGGUAGUCCACACCGUAAACGAUGAUUACUAGGUGUUGGAGGAUUGACCCCUUCAGUGCCGCAGUUAACACAAUAAGUAAUCCACCUGGGGAGUACGACCGCAAGGUUGAAACUCAAAGGAAUUGACGGGGGCCCGCACAAGCAGUGGAGUAUGUGGUUUAAUUCGACGCAACGCGAAGAACCUUACCAAGUCUUGACAUCCCUUGACAGGCAUAGAAAUAUGUUUUCUCUUCGGAGCAAGGAGACAGGUGGUGCAUGGUUGUCGUCAGCUCGUGUCGUGAGAUGUUGGGUUAAGUCCCGCAACGAGCGCAACCCUUAUGGUCAGUUACUACGCAAGAGGACUCUGGCCAGACUGCCGUUGACAAAACGGAGGAAGGUGGGGAUGACGUCAAAUCAUCAUGCCCUUUAUGACUUGGGCUACACACGUACUACAAUGGCGUUAAACAAAGAGAAGCAAGACCGCGAGGUGGAGCAAAACUCAGAAACAACGUCCCAGUUCGGACUGCAGGCUGCAACUCGCCUGCACGAAGUCGGAAUUGCUAGUAAUCGUGGAUCAGCAUGCCACGGUGAAUACGUUCCCGGGCCU
rnacentral:rRNA from 1 species